GACGAACCGAGCGAACGUUGUUCGGAGUCACUGGGCUUAAAGGGCGCGUAGGCGGGCUGUCAAGUUUGGGGUGAAAUCCCGCGGCUCAACCGUGGAACUGCCUCAAAUACUGACGGUCUCGAGGGAGGUAGGGGCGAGCGGAACUGAUGGUGGAGCGGUGAAAUGCGUUGAUAUCAUCAGGAACUCCGGUGGCGAAGGCGGCUCGCUGGACCUUUUCUGACGCUGAGGCGCGAAAGCUAGGGGAGCAAACGGG
rnacentral:rRNA from 1 species